rnacentral:rRNA from 1 species
CCUACGGGCGGCAGCAGUGCGGAAUAUUGGUCAAUGGACGAGAGUCUGAACCAGCCAAGUAGCGUGAAGGAUGACUGCCCUAUGGGUUGUAAACUUCUUUUAUAUGGGAAUAAAAUGUUCCACGUGUGGGAUUUUGUAUGUACCAUAUGAAUAAGGAUCGGCUAACUCCGUGCCAGCAGCCGCGGUAAUACGGAGGAUCCGAGCGUUAUCCGGAUUUAUUGGGUUUAAAGGGAGCGUAGGUGGAUUGUUAAGUCAGUUGUGAAAGUUUGCGGCUCAACCGUAAAAUUGCAGUUGAAACUGGCAGUCUUGAGUACAGUAGAGGUGGGCGGAAUGCGUGGGGUAGCGGUGAAAUGCUUAGAUAGCACGAAGAACUCCGAUUGCGAAGGCAGUUCACUGGACUGCAACUGACACUGAGGCUCGAAAGUGUGGGUAUCAAACAGGAUUAGAUACCCGAGUAGUC